rnacentral:lncRNA from 1 species
GCGGGCAGCCCUGGCCAGCAGCUCUUGUCCCUGUGGCUGGAGGCUGAAGUCCACGUAGGCCCCGGCGGGGAGCCGCUGGGGUGUAGGCCGGGUGCCUUUGUCCAAGCCUGGCGCCACUGCCCAGACACUUUACUUCAAAUUUGGCUUUAUUUUCAUCAUUGAUAUUGAUUAAAAUGACAUUCACUUGCCCGGAAAGUAAAAGAGGUCUUCAGCACAAAAUAUUGCUCCAACAAGCAAGCAUAAAUCACUGAGAUUGAAAUGUCAUCUAUCUUUAUUGGCCAACCACAUAAUCUCCAUGAAAAUUCUCAACAGAGAGCAAGGAACUCACUUUCUUCUAAGCAAAGACAAUUUGGAUUUGCCUCGUGGCACUGGCAUCUCUUCAUGUCUGGACGUCAGAUGUUAGCUUGGUGCCUUUCUCCCUUAUCAGGGGGACAUUUUGAACCCAGCCGCACCAAUGUUCUCAUGGAUGGU